UUUCCGAAAUACAGCCCCCACCCCAGAAGUCAUCUCCUUCACACCCACCCUCUCCAAAACCCUAAAUCACCGCCGCCACCAUAUCCCUUACCCCAAAACCCGGCGUGGCCGGCUCCAUUCACCCCCAAAUUCACACCGUAGCUCCCUCUCCUCUCCCUCACCACGAAUCCCCGUCCACUUUCCUUCGAAUCAUCACCCAACUGCUCGAAUCUUGAUUCAAAAACCUCGGUCAAAAGACAAAUUCAUCCAAACCGGGUCAAGUUCAUCCCCACAGUCUCAUCGUUCUUUUAUUAAUAAAUCCAGGGUCAAUUUUGUCGAAUAUCACCACGCCGUUCCCAAUUUCUGAUCUAGGGUUUCAAGGUCAAUUUUGUUGGAGGCUUCAGGCGUCAGUAUGAUUUCUUAACUGAUGUUAUAUGUUUAUAAACAUAAAAUAUUAAUUAAGAAACCAAUUUCGGCGAUUUAGGCAGUGUGAAGAUUUAACCGUGAGUUCCCUCUUUCUUCUUUUAUUUUUUUUUCUGCAUGUUCAUCUCAUUUUUUGAUAAUGGUUUCACGUUUAGUUGUUUCAUGAAGAUAAGUUAUUAUUUAUUCAUUCAUGCUUUUGUUUUAAUGAAGUGCAGUGUUUCUCAAUUCGUUUCAGCGGUUAAUCUUGUUUAAUUAGUAUAAUUCGACUCAACUAGGUUUUACUCGUCUUAAUUUCAAAUUGCAUUUGGAAAUGUUAUACUAAUUGAUUUCACGUUAUGUUGUUCUCUUCUUUCUGAUGCUUAGAAUUUAGCUCAUUAGUAUGUGUAACUUCUGUCUUGAAUAAGUGUUAGACUUGAAUUGGAUUAAGUUGGGUUUUUGAUUCAGUUUAGUAGUGUUAAUUGGUUAUUUGGAUGUAAUUGAGAAAUUUUAGUUAUUUAAUUUAGUUUAAGCUUCAACUGGGGUAAGGGUAUGGUGCUGUUAAAUUGGGUAGUAAUUUCAGGGGGUUUUCAGGGGUAGUUUUGGGGAUGGAAAUUGGCAACAUCUUGAAAAAUAGUAAAUUCAAGAGUAAGGAAAGGGUAGUUUAGGAAUUGCAACAUGCAUAGGACAUUCUAGAAUGGUACCUUAGUAUGCAUUUCAAUAAAACUAAGGUAGUUACUUGGGCAACAAGUCAGAAAAUGAGGGUUAAAGUAAAAAAAUUAAUAGGGAUUAAUAGUGAAAACUAAAACUUGGGGGGCUGCCCUACUUUGCUUCUAUAAAAAGGCGUUAGAUGCCUUGAAAAAGGGGGCUCCUCCAUUAGCUAUUUUUUUAGCCAUUAUUUAGAUCAUUAGUUCAUAAAUACUCUUGCAUUCUAGUUCGUUUUUUUUCUUAGCCUUUGAUUUCCAUAAAACAAAAAAAGAAACAAAAAGUAAAAACUCAAAAACAGUAGAAAAACCGAAAAAGCUAGAAGGAACACUGUUCCAUUGGUUGCUGGUAUACUCUCCUUGGUUUGGAUUCAUUUUGGAGUGAAUUUGGGUUUGAUUGAGCUGGUUUGGAGGAAUUCUGGUCAUUUUUGGUGUUGUCUGGGGUAGAUUUGUUGUGUCUGGUGGUGUGUUGAAGCAUUCAUGGGUUACUGAACUUGCCUGGGCUGUCAUUUUGGAGUCUGCUUGAAAGCUAUUAUUGUUAAUGUGUGUGUGUCUGUUAAAAUCUCUUGAAAUCAUCCUUGUGUUGCUGGGCGUUAUUGUUGCUGUUGGCUGCUGCUUUAACUGAUCUCUUCUUCCUAUUUCUAAAUUCCAGGUACACAUUUCAAGCUUAUGUUGAUGUAUCUAUUGCUGUCGAAACAAUGAGAUGAAACGGAAGCCAUUUUUUUGCUGAAAUUUUUGUUGAUUCUGUCUGUUCUAUAUAGUUUCUCUGUUUUGAUGGUUUAUUGUAACUAAACUAAGAUGGAUUCAACUUACAGUAGAUGUGAACUAUCUAAAAUGUUAUGAAUGGUGGCCAGUUUAGCAUGUUUGUUUAAUUGAGUAGGUUACUGGACAUUUAAACUAGUAAAUGUAUUCCUGUGUGAUUUUCAUAGUUAAUAGUUUCAGCUAGGCUAGUUCACGUUAUUAGAAUUGGAAUAGUUAACUGUUGUAGUGCAACGUCAAGUGAAGUCAUUUACUGUGCAGAAUUUAUUGUUUCAAUUUGAGAUCAUUUGUCAUAUAGUUUAUACGUUAAUUUGAAAUUUUGGCAUUAGUGGAAUCAUUGUUAAAUAUCUAAUUGGAAAUAGGAACACUGUGUUUGGUCGCUAAUAAUCUAUUGAAGGUUUUCAUGAGAAUUUGGAUAAUUAUUU
rnacentral:lncRNA from 1 species